CGACGCGGUCCGGGAGCGCACCCGCCGGUGACUUCUGCAUCUUGGUCUCCAGUCCCAGCCGCGAGGGAAGUUCCUGGGGCCGGCCGGGCGUAAGUGCUUUGUAAAAGAUCCCUAAUGUCAGCUUCAUCUUAAAGAGACUAAGACGUCUUCACCAACCUCCUCCCCUUCAGCCGUAUCCAUAACUCUGAUCACAUUUCUACAGUGUCAUCCUUCUCUCCUGAGCCCGGGUUAAAAAGGCAGCUGGUGUCAGAAGUAGUUACGGCUGAAGCUUAUCAUCCAAGAUGCCUCACCCGCUGCUUGGUGCACAGAUGCCAGCCUGUGGUUAUUGGAACCUGUCUGCCAGACCAAAGGGAGGAAAUCUGCCAGACAAGAUGUGGAACCUAAAAGCGGAACGUCACUAACUGCUGUGGGCAUCUCUGCCACUUCAUGACCCGUGGACUUUUGGGGAAGUAUUUUUGUGGCUCACCAGUCUCUCAUUAGGCAAGGGCCAGUUGUCCUGGGCUGGCCUUCUCUACUGGUGGAAAGUACAGCUGGGAGAUUUGGAAUGGUUGCUGUUUGACUCUGAUUCUUGGCCAUGAGCUUUUUUGGUAAGAUCCUGAGCUGAAAUUUGCUGUUGAGGAUUGCAGGAUUCCUUCUAAUCUUUGGGAAUGUUUUGAAUCAUAACUGGCAGUGGCUUUCCGAAGGCAACUUGAGCAAGCUCAGGGAAGAAGCCAUCACCCUCUCUCACAUGAAUGUGCCUUUGGGUAAAUCACCCUGAACCCCAGACCCAGAAAUGCCAUCUGCCUUUUUCCUGAGCCCUGAUUUAGAGUGUAAACCUUUUUCUUCUUUUUUACAUGAGUAGAUGUAUUGUUUUCUGCUUCCUCCUUCUCUUAAAG
rnacentral:lncRNA from 1 species